rnacentral:rRNA from 1 species
GAUGAACGCUAGCGGCAGGCUUAAUACAUGCAAGUCGUGGGGCAGCAUGACUGUAGCAAUACAGUUGAUGGCGACCGGCAAACGGGUGCGGAACACGUACACAACCUUCCUUUAAGUGGGGAAUAGCCCAGAGAAAUUUGGAUUAAUACCCCGUAACAUAGUGAAAAGGCAUCUUUUUAUUAUUAUAGCAGCAAUGCGCUUAAUGAUGGGUGUGCGGCUGAUUAGAUAGUUGGCGGGGUAACGGCCCACCAAGUCUGCGAUCAGUAACUGGUGUGAGAGCACGACCAGUCACACGGGCACUGAGACACGGGCCCGACUCCUACGGGAGGCAGCAGUAAGGAAUAUUGGUCAAUGGACGCAAGUCUGAACCAGCCAUGCCGCGUGGAGGAUGAAGGUCCUCUGGAUUGUAAACUUCUUUUAUAUGGGACGAAAAAAGGUCUUUCUAGAUCAACUGACGGUACCAUAUGAAUAAGCACCGGCUAACUCCGUGCCAGCAGCCGCCGUAACAC